CUUUGCGUUCAGCCUCUUUACGGUGCUGCCUUGUGGCGUCUCGAUCAAGCAGCAUUGUACAGGGCUAUGAAGGCUCAG
rnacentral:pre_miRNA from 1 species